GUGGAUUAGAUACCCUGUUAGUCCACGCCCUAAACGAUGCUCACUAGGUGUUGGGGAAGCGAUUCCUUGGUACCGAAGCUAACGCGUGAAGUGAGCCGCCUGGGGAGUACGGCCGCAAGGUUAAAACUCAAAGGAAUUGACGGGGACCCGCACAAGCGGUGGAUGAUGUGGAUUAAUUCGAUGCAACGCGAACAACCUUACCUACCCUUGACAUGUCUGGAAGGCCCCUGAGAGGGGGCUGUGCCUGAAAGGGAACCGGAACACAGGUGCUGCACGGUUGUCGACAGCU
rnacentral:rRNA from 1 species